GAUGAAGAACGCAGCGAAAUGCGAUACUUGGUGUGAAUUGCAGAAUCCCGUGAACCAUCGAGUCUUUGAACGCAAGUUGCGCCCGAAGCCAUCAGGUUGAGGGCACGUCUGCCUGGGCGUCACAUAUCGUUGCCCAAUGCCUAUUGCAGUGCAAUAGGAAUUUCUAGAGCGAAUGAUGGCUUCCCGUGAGCGUUGUUGCCUCGCGGUUGGUUGAAAAUCGAGUCCUUGGUAGGGUGUGCCAUGGUAGAUGGUGGUCGAGUUAGAACGAUACCGAUCAUGUGCAUGCUCCCCAAAAUAUGGCCUCUAUGACCCACACGCGUCUUUUGACGCUCAUGACGAGACCUCAGGUCAGGCGGGGCUACCCGCUGAAUUUAAGCAUAUCAAUAAGCGGAGGA
rnacentral:misc_RNA from 1 species